GAUGAACGCUGGCGGCGUGCCUAAUACAUGCAAGUCGAGCGAACAGACGAGGAGCUUGCUCCUCUGACGUUAGCGGCGGACGGGUGAGUAACACGUGGAUAACCUACCUAUAAGACUGGGAUAACUUCGGGAAACCGGAGCUAAUACCGGAUAAUAUAUUGAACCGCAUGGUUCAAUAGUGAAAGACGGUUUUGCUGUCACUUAUAGAUGGAUCCGCGCCGCAUUAGCUAGUUGGUAAGGUAACGGCUUACCAAGGCAACGAUGCGUAGCCGGCCUGAGAGGGUGAUCGGCCACACUGGAACUGAGACACGGUCCAGACUCCUACGGGAGGCAGCAGUAGGGAAUCUUCCGCAAUGGGCGAAAGCCUGACGGAGCAACGCCGCGUGAGUGAUGAAGGUCUUCGGAUCGUAAAACUCUGUUAUUAGGGAAGAACAAGUGUGUAAGUAACUAUGCACGUCUUGACGGUACCUAAUCAGAAAGCCACGGCUAACUACGUG
rnacentral:rRNA from 1 species